GACUCGAAAGCGGAGUGGUCCGUGUCUGCUUGAUGUGAGGGAAAGACAAUGCAUUUGAACGCAGAUAUCAUCGGUUCGACUCCGGCUCGAGUCC